GAUGGACGCUGGCGGCGUGCUUAACACAUGCAAGUCGAACGAAGUAUAUUGGAAUGAGUUCUUCGGAACAAAUGAAUUUAUACUUAGUGGCGGACGGGUGAGUAACGCGUGGAUAACCUGCCUUACACUGGGGGACAACAGUUAGAAAUGACUGCUAAUACCGCAUAAGCGCACAGUACCGCAUGGUACGGUGUGAAAAACUCCGGUGGUGUAAGAUGGAUCCGCGUCUGAUUAGCUAGUUGGUGAGGUAAUGGCUCACCAAGGCGACGAUCAGUAGCCGGCCUGAGAGGGUGAACGGCCACAUUGGGACUGAGACACGGCCCAGGCUCCUACGGGAGGCAGCAGUGGGGAAUAUUGCACAAUGGGCGAAAGCCUGAUGCAGCGACGCCGCGUGAGCGAAGAAGUAUUUCGGUAUGUAAAGCUCUAUCAGCAAGGAAGAUAAUGACGGUACUUGACUAAGAAGCCCCGGCUAACUACGUGCCAGCAGCCGCCGUAA
rnacentral:rRNA from 1 species